rnacentral:tRNA from 1 species
GCAGCGGUAGUUCAGUUGGUUAGAAUACCGGCCUGUCACGCCGGGGGUCGCGGUGUCUCUUAUAACCCUCUGACGCUGCC